CCAGACUCCUACGGGAGGCAGCAGUGGGGGAUAUUGCACAAUGGGGGGAACCCUGAUGCAGCGACGCCGCGUGAGUGAAGAAGCGUGUCGGCGCGUAAAGCUCUGUCAGCGGGGAAGAAAGAAGACGGUGCCCGACCAAGAAGCCCCGGCUAACUACGUGCCAGCAGCCGCGGUAAUACGUAGGGGGCGAGCGUUAUCCGGAAUUACUGGGUGUAAAGGGAGCGUAGACGGCGAAGUAAGCCUGAAGUGGAAGCCCGCGGCCCAACCGCGGAACUGCUUUGGGAACUGUUUAGCUGGAGUAUGGGAGGGGUAAGCGGAAUUCCUGGUGUAGCGGUGAAAUGCGUAGAUAUCAGGAGGAACACCGGUGGCGAAGGCGGCUUACUGGACCAUGACUGACGUUGAGGCUCGAAAGCGUGGGGAGCGAACAGGAUUAGAUACCCUGGUA
rnacentral:rRNA from 1 species